GUCCUGAUUUAAUUAAUUACCUUCUCGUGGUUCAGGAUGUAAGUAAGAAUUGCAGUUUUUGACAUAAGACAAUUCUGAAACUAAAGAUUAA
rnacentral:ribozyme from 1 species